rnacentral:rRNA from 1 species
CCUACGGGAGGCAGCAGUGAGGAAUAUUGGUCAAUGGUCGGGAGACUGAACCAGCCAAGCCGCGUGAGGGAUGAAGGUACAGAGUAUCGUAAACCUCUUUUGUCAGGGAACAAAGGCGGGGACGUGUCCCCGGAUGAGUGUACCUGAAGAAAAAGCAUCGGCUAACUCCGUGCCAGCAGCCGCGGUAAUACGGGGGAUGCGAGCGUUAUCCGGUUUUAUGGGGUUUAAAGGGUGCGCGGGCGGUCUGUUAAGUCAGCGGUCAAAGCCCGGGGCUCAACCCCGGCCCGCCGUUGAAACUGGCAGCCUCGAGUUGGAGAGAGGUAUGCGGAAUGCGCGGUGUAGCGGUGAAAUGCAUAGAUAUCGCGAAGAACUCCGAUUGCGAAGGCAGCAUGCCGGCUCCACACUGACGCUGAGGCACGAAAGCGUGGGUAUCGAACAGGAUUAGAUACCCGAGUAGUC